UUCCUUUAUUGUCUGGAUUCACAUCAUUAAAUAUUGAACUCCUUAUCAUCCAAACUUAUUAGGACCCUUUAGGUAAUGGGUUCACUAAUGGUUUUGUUAUGAUCAAUUAUACUCUUAUAAUUGUUUCCAUCUUUUUAAGGUUAGGUACUAUAGCUCCCAAAUAUCUCAGAUGGUCACUCUUAGAUGGAGAGCCUCAGAGUUGUCAUAGAUGAUGUUAUAAACUACUGAAGAUUUCUAAUGAAUGGCUCUAAGAUACUGGUCAAACGUUUGCCACACCAUAAGGUUGGUUUAAUCAUAACUUGCUUGGGAACC
rnacentral:lncRNA from 1 species